CGACGGUUUGUCGAGCUUCACGGCGUGGAAAUGGACUCCGUUGUGUCCUAUUAUGCUCGUUUUGCCUCUCGAAAUAAGUAAACUAUCCGAUCGUGGGAGCCGACCGUCGUGGGAGGGGAGCGACCGUAAAGCCUCUGACGUCAGGGAAGGUGUCAAUUCCCUUUGCUAUGCCAAAAGAGAGUUACAAGAGGUGACGAGUGUACCAUGGAGUCGUGGGGCUUCGCUCAAUCCCACGCACCGGAGUAGAAGCCGCAGCGUCUUCUCUUGUUCGAACAGUUUUCGUCUAGGUACUCAGAGGAAUGGUCUACGCUUGUAGAAGGUGGGCUGGAAAAGAGGCACGUAUAAAGAAAUUACUAUUAACGGGCAAAGUGAUGUGGGGGCGGGAAGUAGGGCACGAAUCAACGAAUUUCGUAAAGUUAACACGCAGGACAACGGCAAAAAAAGGUGCUCCUUGGAGGAGGCCUGGUGGGAUCGUCAGGUUCGGCACAAGGGUGUCUGCACCAGUGGACGGCAUGUAGCCGAAACAGUUGUAGGGCUUCUGUCUUCCCAUUAUCACUUGCCGUGGUGGUGUAAGCAUACACCGACUUGUGGGGAUAGUGCAUGAAAAAAAGUGUUUAGUUAUAUGAAUGUGUGCGUGUAUAUAUAUGUGAACAGAAUAGGUAUCAUGGUUUCAUACUCGAUUUUGAAGGGAGCGAAAAGGAACGCCUCGGCUCACCUCCGGC
rnacentral:lncRNA from 1 species